AGCAGCCGCGGUAAUUCCAGCUCCAAUAGCGUAUAUUAAAGUUGUUGCAGUUAAAAAGCUCGUAGUUGAAUUUCGGGGUUAAUAAGUUGGUCGUACCUAUGGUAUGUACUGGCUUUAUUGAUUCCUACCUCUUGACGAACUGUGAUGCCAUUAAUUUGGUGUUGCAAGGAAUCAGGACUGUUACCUUGAAAAAUUAGAGUGUUUAAAGCAGGCUUACGCUUGAAUACAUUAGCAUGGAAUAAUGAAAUAGGACGUUUGAACCUAUUUUGUUGGUUUCUAGGAUCGACGUAAUGAUUAAUAGGGAUAGUUGGGGGCAUUAGUAUUCAAUUGUCAGAGGUGAAAUUCUGGAUUUAUUGAAGACUAACACUGCGAAAGCAUUUUUGCCAAGGAUGUUUUCAUUAAUCAAGAACGAAAGUUAGAGGAUCGAAGACGAUCAGAUACCGUCGUAG
rnacentral:rRNA from 1 species